CUACGGGCCGCUGCAGUGAGGAAUAUUGCACAAUGGGGGAAACCCUGAUGCAGCAACGCCGCGUGGAGGAUGACGCAUUUCGGUGUGUAAACUCCUUUUAUGAGUCAAGAAAAUGACGGUAGCUCAUGAAUAAGCACCGGCUAACUCCGUGCCAGCAGCCGCGGUAAUACGGAGGGUGCAAGCGUUACUCGGAAUCACUGGGCGUAAAGGACGCGUAGGCGGGUUGUCAAGUCAGGUGUGAAAUCCUACAGCUUAACUGUAGAACUGCACUUGAAACUGGCAACCUAGAGUAUGGGAGGGGGAGAUGGAAUUAGUGGUGUAGGGGUAAAAUCCGUAGAUAUCACUAGGAAUACCGAAAGCGAAGGCGAUCUCCUGGAACAUUACUGACGCUAAGGCGUGAAAGCGUGGGGAGCAAACAGGAUUAGAUACCCUUGUAGUC
rnacentral:rRNA from 1 species